rnacentral:misc_RNA from 1 species
AUGAGUUAGGGUCUUCUAGGCCCGAUCUCCAACCCUUUGUAUAACUACCAUGUUGCUUUGGCGGGCCCGUCUUUAACCGGACCGUCGAGGGUUUUAAUUAAUCCUUGGCCAGUGCUCGUCAGUAGCCCACUUAAAUUCUUUUUAACCAUGUUAAAUCUGAAAAAUAGUUAAAUAAACUA